rnacentral:rRNA from 1 species
GACGAACGCUGGCGGCGUGCUUAACACAUGCAAGUCGAACGGAAAGGCCCUGCUUGCAGGGUACUCGAGUGGCGUACGGGUGAGUAACACGUGGGUGAUCUGCCCUGCACUUCGGGAUAAGCUUGGGAAACUGGGUCUAAUACCGGAUAGGACCGCACUUUAGUGUGUGUGGUGGAAAGUUUUUUCGGUGUAGGAUGAGCUCGCGGCCUAUCAGCUUGUUGGUGGGGUAAUGGCCUACCAAGGCGGCGACGGGUAGCCGGCCUGAGAGGGUGUACGGCCACAUUGGGACUGAGAUACGGCCCAGACUCCGACGGGAGGCAGCAGUGGGGAAUAUUGCACAAUGGGCGCAAGCCUGAUGCAGCGACGCCGCGUGGGGGAUGAAGGCCUUCGGGUUGUAAACUCCUUUCGCUAGGGACGAAGCUUUGUUGUGACGGUACCUAGAUAAGAAGCACCGGCUAACUACGUG